rnacentral:lncRNA from 10 species
GGGGAUUCAGUGAGUGAAUAUAUGUGACUCUGGGUUUGUUUCCUGGGCUGCCCUAAUACAGUAUCACAGACUGGGAGGCCUGAAACAACAGACAUUUAUUUUCUCACAGUUAUGCCUGGCCAGAGUCCACAGUCAGGGUGUUGGCAGGGCUGUGCUUCCCCUAGAGGCUCUAGGAGAGGAUCCUUCUUGGCCUCUUCCAGCUCCCGGUGGCUCCAGGACUUCCUUGGCUUGCGGCCGCAUCACUCCAGUCUCUGCCUCUGUAUUACACGGCUUCCUCCUCUUUGUGUGAGUGUCUUUUAUAAGGAUGUCAUUGGAUGGAGGACUCACCCAGAUAACCCAGGAGGAUCUCUUCUCAAGCUCCCUAACUUAAUCAUACCUGCAAAGACUCUUUUUCCAAAUGAGUUCCCAUAUCACAGUUUCCAGGAUGUGGACAUACCUUUAGUUAUUAUGAAUUAUAUGGUUAUUUAUCUACAGC